GACAGAGGAGGCAAGCGUUGUCCGGACUGACUGGGCGUAAAGCGUCCGCAGGUGGUCGUGCAAGUGCGCUGUGAAAGCGGCCCGCUCAACGGGCCGAGGCCAGCGCAGACUGCGCGACUCGAGGUCGGGAGAGGUCGGUGGAAUUGCCGGUGUAGUGGUGAAAUGCGUAGAGAUCGGCAGGAACACCCAAGGGGAAGCCAGCCGACUGGCCCCGCACCUGACACUCAGGGACGA
rnacentral:rRNA from 1 species